rnacentral:rRNA from 1 species
UACAGAGGUCUCAAGCGUUGUUCGGAUUCAUUGGGCGUAAAGGGUGCGUAGGUGGCGCGCUAAGUCAGGUGUGAAAUUUCGGAGCUUAACUCCGAAACUGCAUUUGAUACUGGCAUGCUUGAGGACUGGAGAGGAGACUGGAAUUUACGGUGUAGCAGUGAAAUGCGUAGAGAUCGUAAGGAAGACCAGUGGCGAAGGCGGGUCUCUGGACAGUUCCUGACACUGAGGCACGAAGGCCAGGGGAGCAAACGGG